rnacentral:rRNA from 1 species
UUUUGUGGAGGGUUCGAUUCUGGCUCAGGAUGAACGCUGGCGGCGUGCUUAACACAUGCAAGUCGAACGGGAUCCAUCAAGCUUGCUUGGUGGUGAGAGUGGCGAACGGGUGAGUAAUGCGUGACCGACCUGCCCCAUACACCGGAAUAGCUCCUGGAAACGGGUGGUAAUGCCGGAUGCUCCAGUUGAUCGCAUGGUCUUCUGGGAAAGCUUUCGCGGUAUGGGAUGGGGUCGCGUCCUAUCAGCUUGACGGCGGGGUAACGGCCCACCGUGGCUUCGACGGGUAGCCGGCCUGAGAGGGCGACCGGCCACAUUGGGACUGAGAUACGGCCCAGACUCCUACGGGAGGCAGCAGUGGGGAAUAUUGCACAAUGGGCGCAAGCCUGAUGCAGCGACGCCGCGUGAGGGAUGGAGGCCUUCGGGUUGUAAACCUCUUUUAUCGGGGAGCAAGCGAGAGUGAGUUUACCCGUUGAAUAAGCACCGGCUAACUACGUGCCAGCAGCCGCGGUAAUACGUAGGGUGCAAGCGUUAUCCGGAAUUAUUGGGCGUAAAGGGCUCGUAGGCGGUUCGUCGCGUCCGGUGUGAAAGUCCAUCGCUUAACGGUGGAUCCGCGCCGGGUACGGGCGGGCUUGAGUGCGGUAGGGGAGACUGGAAUUCCCGGUGUAACGGUGGAAUGUGUAGAUAUCGGGAAGAACACCAAUGGCGAAGGCAGGUCUCUGGGCC